GUUUUAUUCACAUCGAAUGCUAUUUGGAUAUAAUCUUCUUUGUUAAAAUGAAUUUUACCUUGAUCAAAGGUUUGAUGAUCCAUACUUUUCUUGUUUUAUGUUAUGCUUAUACUAUGUGAAGUGAUUGUACUUGCUACGUCUUUUAUCAGUUCUUUAUUCUCAAGAUACACUGCUAUGAACUAAUAAAGUCCUUUUUUUAAAUAUUUUUUGUUACUCCAAG
rnacentral:misc_RNA from 1 species